GCUCAGCCGUCAACAAAGACAGUACAAAAUACAAUGCUGUUCGCCAGAGAACUACAAGCAAAAACUCAAAACUCCAAGGACUUGGCGGUGCUCCACAUCACCCUAGAGGAGCCUGUCCUAUAAUCGAUACCCCCCGAUCUACCUCACCACUUUUUGAAACUCAGCCUAUAUACCGCCGUCGUCAGCCUACCUUAUGAAAGAAGUACAGUAAGCAAAAUAGUCACCAACUAAAACGUCAGGUCAAGGUGUAGCACAUGUAGUGGAAGAGAUGGGCUACACUCUCUCCCUCAGAGAACACGAACAGCACCAAUGAAACACUGCUCAAAGGUGGAUUUAGCAGUAAGAUAAGCAAGAGAGCCUAUCUUAAAUCAGCCCUGGAGCGCGC
rnacentral:rRNA from 1 species